UUUCAGCUGCAAAUGUUAUUGCAUCUACAUUUCCAGAGGAGAAAGAAGGUUAAACAGCCUACUCAGGUUUAUGUUAACUCAUCUCUUUUUAGUACUCAAAUGAGCACAAAGAGUAGAGAAUGUGGAAGCUUAACAGCCCAACCUCUUUCUUCCUUACAUUCAAUUAGACUCUGGAAAUGGAUAUCACUGAUGAUUAAAUGAAGAUAAAGAAAAGAAAACAGAAAGAAACCAUUAAUAAAUUUUGGAGAAAGAAAGCAGAUGACUGAUGAAGUUCAAAAUCAACCAAGCUGAACUUAAUCCCAUCAAAAGUCUCCAGAAAGCAGAGAAGCCCAGGCUCCCCACCCAUCCUCAUUGACUGCUGGACUUUAAGCCAAUCAAAAGCCUCCAGAGGACAGGGAAGCUCAAACCUCUAACAACCCUCCCCCAGAGACUACACCAAGAGAUCUUCUGUUAAAGCUCCAAGAGGGGAGAGUGAUAGAAGUCCCCCAAAAAAACAAAAAAAUGAGAGGAACAAGAGCACAGACAAAUACAGGGAGGAAAGAAGGGGUGAAUUUGAGCAAACAACAGAAAAAGAAGAAAGAAACUACAAUAGACAGCUACUACUCAGCAAAUGGAACAGAGGGGGAGAGAUCAGCAAAUGAUAAACCAGAAAUCCCAGCGAACUGGAUACAGGCUGUGGAAGAACUCAAGACACAACUAAGAGAGGCUGAAGACAAUUGGAAAAAGAACUUAAAAAAUUAAGAUAAGUCAUCUGGAAACAGAGGCACUGCAACUAAAACAAGAAAAUAGUGUCUUGAAAGCCAAAAUCAACCAGCUGGAAAAUGAGGCAAAGGAGAUGAAAGAUGAGGCAAAGGAGAUGAAAGACGAGGUAAAGAGGAUGAAAGACGCUCUUCAAAGAAAAUCAGACCAGAAGGAAAAGGAUGACCAAAAAGCCAGAGAUGAAAUCCAAUCUUUAAGAACCAGAAUAAAACAACUAAAAUCAAGUGACCUCACAAGGCAGCAGGACACUAUAAAACAAAACAAAAAGAAUGAAAAAAAUGAAGGAAAUGUGAAGCAUCUCAUUUACAAAACAGACAAUUUAGAAAAUCGUUCAAGCAAAAACAAUUUAAGAAUAAUUGAACUACCAGAAGACCACGACAAAAGAAAAAGCCUGGACAUAAUACUAGAGGAAAUUAUCAAGGAAAACUGUCCCAAGAUCCUAGAACAAGAAGGGAAAGUGGAGAUUGAAAGAAUCCACAGAUCACCCCCAAAAUCUUCUUAAUAGAAGUUUCUUGGACAGAAACAUAUCCACAAACAGCUCCAAUCAUAUCUAGAAAUGCUUUUUUCAACAACACCAUGAAGAAGUUAAAGUUAAUCUUAGAACUGCUAUGACAUAUACAUUGUUUGAAUAUGCCAAGGACAAGAAAGAGCAAUUCAUGGAGAAUCAUCAUCCUGUCCAUUCUGUGACAUCAAUAAGCAAUAUUAUUUCAGUUGAGACUCCUAAUACAGCUCCCUCAAGUAAGAAAAAAGAAGAGCUUUCAAAAACCCAGAAACAGAAACUAGCAGACAAAACAGAUCACAAAGGUGAACUUCCACGAGGCUGGAACUGGGUUGAUGUAGUUAAGCAUUUAAGCAAAGCUGGUUCUAAAGAUGAUGAAUAACGGAAGUAACUUGAUAGAAGAAAAUACCAUCUUUUAAUACCAUAAACUGAGGCCAACAUGUUUCUUUUAGUACUCUUUUCUUCUAUUGGCAUUUUAUAAAAUAUAAGUUUUUGAGUUAAGUAAUCAGAUCACAAGUUCAUGCAAAUAUUUGUUGGUUUUUCAUUAUUCUCACAAAUUUUCCUUAAAGGAAGGUAAAACAUGCCACCAGGAAUGUUGAGUGUCCUUUCAAGAGUCUGUUAAGCUUUAUAAAUGAUCACAUAUCAGGAAAAGUAAAUGAUGAUAUAUGCAGUAUUAGUUUAUACUGUCUUACUCCAGUGUGUGAUUUUUUUUAAAGGAAUGUAAAGCCAAUUAGAAUAAAGCUGCUUAUGAAAUAUACCCUUUUCAAGUUCUCAUCUCAGUGGAGUAAAUAGUAAGAGUGGUGUUUUGGGAAGCAUGAUCUAUAUUAAUAGGUUUGUCACCUUAUUUAAGGUCUUCAUCUGUUCAUUCCCUUGAAUUACUGAUGUUUAAAUUGCUUCAAAGAAAGCUAGUGGUUGAAUACCACUAUGAUCCCUUCGUAUAGUUCACAUCUGUGUGUAGUUACUUUCCAUGUUUUGUUUUUUGCAGAGAACUGCUGUCUUCACACAGAUAAGUCUAAAUUAUAUUUUUCUCAAUAUUGAUGUAUUGAGAGGUUUAAACAUGAGAGAUUUUCAUAAUACAUAGGGUAAGAAAAGAUAAAACAAUUCUGCCAAAUACAUUGGAAAAAAUAAUAAAUAUUCACUUGGUUCUGCUCAUUUUCACUUUUCGUAAUUUCAUGUAGAUGUUUUUAAUUAACUUGCUCAUCAUUUCUUAUAACACAAUAAAUAGUACUCUAUCACAAUCAUAUGCCACAGCUUGAUUUACUAUUGCGCAACUGAUGAGCAUCCCCUCAAUUUAAGUUCUUUGCCACCAUAAAAAGCUGCUAAAAAUAUUUUAGAGCAUAUACAUUGUUUUCCUUUUUCCCUGAUCAUGUUAGGAAAUAAAUCUAAUAGUGGCAUUGCUGGAUCAAAAAAUAUACAUAAUUUUCUAAUCCUCUGGCUAUAAUUCUAAAUUGUUCUCCAAAAGGAUUUGGAUCAGUUCACAGUUCCACCAACAGUGUAUUAGUGUUCUCAUUUUUUGUCACAUUCCUUCAAACUUUUGUCAUUUUGUUCUUUUAUCAUUGUAGCAAAAUUGAUGGUUGUGAGUUCACCUUAGAACUGUUUAGAUUUAUGUUUCUCUAAUAAUAAUGUAAAGCAUUUUUCACAUAUUUUCAUAUGGCUUUGAUUUCUUCAUGAGAAUUUGUUCACACCUCAACCAUUUAACUACUGGGGAAUGGCUCAUAUUCUUAUAAAUUUGAGAAAGUUCUCUACAUAUUUUAUACAAGAUAGCUAUCUGAGGAAAUGUCUAUAAAAAUGUUCCCCCAAUUUUCUGCUUUCGUUCUAAUCUUGGUUACAUUAACUAUAUUUGUACAAACACUUUUAAUUUAAUGUUUUCAAAAUUAUCCAUUUUACAUCACAUAAUGCUCUCUCUUGAUUAGUCCUAAAUUCUUAUCUUUUCCAUAAAUCUGAUAAUCUUUUGCUCCUUUGUUUACAAAUAUUUGUUCUAUGUUUGUCCUGUUCCACUCAUCUAUUUUUUAAUUUCUUAGCUUAGAUCAAAUAGUUUUGAUAAUUAUUGCUGUCUAACAGUUUAAAAUCUAGUAUUGCUGGGCUCCUUUUCUUUAUAUUUUUUCAUUAAUUCCUUUGAUAUUCUUCACUUUUUGUUCUCUUAAGAAGUUAGCAAUUUCCUGUUACCCAAUUCUAAUUUUUAAUGUGGUAUUUUCUUCAUUGAGUUUUUGGGUCUCUUUUUCUAAUUGGUUGAUCUUUCUUUCAUAAUUUUCUUUAUUUUCUUGCAAUGCUUUUACUUUUUCCUUAAUUCUUCCUCAACCUUUUGUUUGGUUUUAAAACUCUUUUUCAAGUUCUACCAAGUACUCUUUCGGGGCUUGUGUUCAUUUUAUGUUUUUCUUUGAAAUUCUGGAAGUGGGUGUUUUAAUUUUACUGUCUACAGAAUUUAAACCCUGACCUUUUUCCAAAAGUAGAUAUCUAUAUUUAAGUUCUUUCUUUUUUGCUUAUCCUUUUUUUUAAGCAGAUUAUGUCUUAAUUCUUCAUGCCAGUGUUAGGCUCUUCUCUCUGUAUGGGACAGGGGUGGGGAUAAUUUCUCAGCCUUUCUUGUUUUUAUCAUUAUUCCCUGAGUUCUCUGGGUAUCUUUGAUCUCCAAGUUCUUCUAAUUUCUAUAUUAUAGGACCCCUAGAAACAUUGUCAUCUUCAAUAUUCUUACUCGUUGUGGUCUUUCUAGAGAUUGCAAAUAUCAUUUCACCCAGAAGACAUUAGUCUUUGAAACUCAAGUAGUAAUUCUGCUCUCCAGGGUUCUUGUCUCCCACAACUGUACUCAUUCAUGUAUGUUUGCUUCUCCUCUUCUACAGCCACAGAGUGAGACAGACUCUAGUCACAGCACAAAAUCUCCUAGGCAGCUGCCCAACCUCAUCUCAUAGUCAGCUCAGUGAACAUUCUGAUGCUGAUACUGUGACUUACAAAGAUGCUUCCAGGCCCUACCAUAGGUAAAUUGGUUGUCAGUUUGUCACCUAGCGCAUUCCAGCUUCUUCCCAAGUUGUCCUUCCUUGAAUGAUUGUCUUUCCCUGGCACUCAAUGAUUUUUGCUACUUAAAGGUCAUUCAGGAGCACCAUUAUCAAUUAUUUGGAGGAAAAUUGGAAGAAUAAGGUAAUCUUCUGUUUUAUUCCACCAUCUUCCCAGAAUGCAAAGCUCCUUUAAAAGGAUUAAACUACCAGCAAGUCUAUAAGUCACAUUCUUCUAGCCUCUUUUACUUUAUUAUUAAAAAUAAAAUGAACAUAGAGCGGAAAUAAAGAUCAGAAAAUAGUUUUAAAGUAAAAACUAUUUGAUCAAAAUAAAGUUAUAGAAAAUUGUUACUUUUAUAAGAACUGCUUCUAGCUGGUUUUGGAUGAAUUAUUUAGACAAUUAUAAAGAACACUUAUUUUUACACAACUCACAUUCAAUAGGACCAUAUGUUGGGGCACUUUGGUGGCUCAGUGGAUUGAGAGCCAGGUCUAGAGACCUUAGAGACUGGAGGUCCUUGAUUCAAGACUAGACUCUGACAUUUCCUAGCUAUGUGACCCUGGGCAAGUGACUUACCCCCCAUUACCUAGCCCUUACCACUCUUCUGCCUCAGAAUCAAUACUGGAAGUUAAGGGUUUAAAAAAUAAAAUAAAAUAAAAACAAUACCAC